UAAACGCAAAAAGAUAUCUAACUCGUCCGGUGCGAAAAUAUCAAACGAGAAUAAAAAAAAAAAAGAAAAAAAAUAUAACACAUAAUGUUUACGUGGUUCGAUCACUAGCCUACAUUCAAGGACGAAAACGUAUCGAAGAUCUUCCUUAUAAUUAAAGUAAUAUACAAAAAAUGUCUCUCUCACAAAAUUCUAAUUUUAAAAAGUACAUCCAUACUCUUUCUCAUCUGUUGCACCAAAAUAAAUAAAAUAAAGAGUAUUUUUAUAAUAGUGGCUAAAUUCUAAUACAAUUAGAAAUACAAAUUCACUAAUAUUAGGAAUAUUUUAAUUAGAUUAGGCAUAAUUUAAACGUAACUUAAUAGGAUAACCAAAACAAAAUAGGGUUAGAAAACCGUAUAGUUUCAGAAUUCGAGAUAUCUAACAGUUAUCUAUUUCGUUCACUCUUUAUAAAUAAAUUUGGUUAAAAAUAUAAAGCAAUUAUGCUUUAAACUUGAGACCUCGAAUACUACACGUCAAACCUUUAGCC
rnacentral:lncRNA from 1 species